rnacentral:lncRNA from 1 species
CUGGGCAGGUAAUUUACUUGGGCAGUAGAAAUAGAUUAAAGCAAAAGGAGGAGCUUGAUCGCUUCCUAACAUUUUUUCCUCCUCCACUCUGUUCUUCCAUCAAUCAUGAAGGAAACCCGAAUUAUGCACUGCAUGUCCACUGCAGACGGGGCUCCAACAUGGACCUCAACCAACCAAACCCUGGUCCCCCCCAAUGGAGUUCAGUCGUACCCAGUACAUAUGCCAGAGGACUCGAGGAGCUAAAAACACCAUGUGUCCAGCAGACUGGCAUGGCUGAGCCAAUUACGGCCACCAGAGGCA